GGGCCUGCAUGAAGGGCUGAAUGAGGGGGGCUUCGUCCCCUCCGUCUGGCUCGAGAAGGGCUUUCAGAUGUUCAUAUCUCCCGGGGAGGAGCCCCUGGAGGCGGUGCGGACUGCUGCAACCAGGGUGGCUGGGUCAAUAGUAGGAGAG
rnacentral:rRNA from 14 species